GGGAAUGUAGCUCAGUGGUAGAGCACUUGUCUAACAUAUGUGAAACCCUGGGUUUAAUCCUCAGCACCACCA
rfam:Ictidomys tridecemlineatus contig066196, whole genome shotgun sequence.